rnacentral:tRNA from 1 species
CGGGGUGUAGCGUAGUCAGGUUAGCGCGCCACAUUUGGGAUGUGGAGGUCGCAGGUUCGAAUCCUGCCACCCCGA